UGCGUAGACGGUUAUGUAAGUCGGGUGUGAAAGCCCCGGGCUCAACCUGGGAAUGCCAUUCGAGACUGCAUAGCUAGGGUGCGGAAGAGGGAAGCGGAAUUUCCGGUGUAGCGGUGAAAUGCGUAGAUAUCGGAAGGAACACCAGUGGCGAAAGCGGCUUCCUGGUCCAGCACCGACGUUCAGGCACGAAAGCGUGGGGAGCAAACAGGAUUAGAUACCCUGGUAGUCCACGCCAUAAACGAUGAGAACUAGACGUUGAGAGGGUAAGCCUCGCAGUGUCGUAGCUAACGCGCUAAGUUCUCCGCCUGGGAGUACGGCCGCAAGGUUGAA
rnacentral:rRNA from 1 species